UGCAGAAUCCCGUGAACCAUCGAGUCUUUGAACGCAAGUUGCGCCCGAUGCCAUUAGGUUGAGGGCACGUCUGCCUGGGCGUCACAUAUCGAAGCCUCUUGCCAAUUUCCUAAUGAUAGGUAUUGUGCAGGGUGAAUGUUGGCCUCCCGUGAGCUCCAUCGUCUCAUGGUUGGUUGAAAAUCGAGACCUUGGUAGUUUGUGCCAUGAUAGUGGUGGUUGUGUUACGCACGAGCCCAAAUAAUCAUGUGCUGCUCUAUCGAAUUUAGCCUCUUUUACCCACAUGUGUUUCUAAACGCUCGUGAUGAGACCUCAGGUCAGGCGGGGCUACCCGCUGAAUUUAAGCAUAUCAAUAAGCGGAGGAAAAGAAACUAACAAGGAUUCCCUUAGUAACGGCGAGCGAACCGGGAUAAGCCCACCAUGAGAAUCGGUCGCCCUCGGCGUUCGA
rnacentral:rRNA from 1 species